rnacentral:rRNA from 1 species
GUGAGGAAUAUUGGUCAAUGGACGCAAGUCUGAACCAGCCAUGCCGCGUGCAGGAAGACGGCUCUAUGAGUUGUAAACUGCUUUUGUACGAGGGUAAACGCAGAUACGUGUAUCUGUCUGAAAGUAUCGUACGAAUAAGGAUCGGCUAACUCCGUGCCAGCAGCCGCGGUAAUACGGAGGAUCCGAGCGUUAUCCGGAUUUAUUGGGUUUAAAGGGUGCGUAGGCGGUUUUAUAAGUUAGAGGUGAAAUGUUCGGGCUUAACCCGGAAACUGCCUCUGAUACUGUAGGACUAGAGAGUAGUUGCGGUAGGCGGAAUGUAUGGUGUAGCGGUGAAAUGCUUAGAUAUCAUACAGAACACCGAUUGCGAAGGCAGCUUACCAAACUAUAUCUGACGUUGAGGCACGAAAGCGUGGGGAGCAAACAGG